rnacentral:rRNA from 1 species
AUUGAACGCUGGCGGCAGGCCUAACACAUGCAAGUCGAGCGGAUGAAGGGGGCUUGCUCCUGGAUUCAGCGGCGGACGGGUGAGUAAUGCCUAGGAAUCUGCCUGGUAGUGGGGGAUAACGUCCGGAAACGGGCGCUAAUCCCGCAUACGUCCUGAGGGAGAAAGUGGGGGAUCUUCGGACCUCACGCUAUCAGAUGAGCCUAGGUCGGAUUAGCUAGUUGGUGGGGUAAAGGCCUACCAAGGCGACGAUCCGUAACUGGUCUGAGAGGAUGAUCAGUCACACUGGAACUGAGACACGGUCCAGACUCCUACGGGAGGCAGCAGUGGGGAAUAUUGGACAAUGGGCGAAAGCCUGAUCCAGCCAUGCCGCGUGUGUGAAGAAGGUCUUCGGAUUGUAAAGCACUUUAAGUUGGGAGGAAGGGCAGUAAGUUAAUACCUUGCUGUUUUGACGGUACCAACAGAAUAAGCACCGGCUAACUUCGUG